rnacentral:rRNA from 1 species
UACAGAGGGUGCAAGCGUUGUUCGGAAUUAUUGGGCGUAAAGGGCGCGUAGGCGGUGCGGUAAGUCACCUGUGAAAUCUCCUGGCUCAACUGGGAGCUUGCAGGCGAAACUGCCGUGCUGGAGUGUGGGAGAGGUGCGUGGAAUUCCUGGUGUAGCGGUGAAAUGCGUAGAUAUCAGGAGGAACACCUGUGGCGAAAGCGGCGCACUGGACCACAACUGACGCUGAGGCGCGAAAGCGUGGGGAGCAAACAGG